rnacentral:lncRNA from 1 species
ACAAUGUGUAUGCAAAUUGCCGAAUUAACAGAAAAAAGAGCGUGUAUCCAAUGAACAUGGGCCUU